UCCAGACUCCUACGGGAGGCAGCAGUGGGGGAUAUUGCACAAUGGGGGGAACCCUGAUGCAGCGACGCCGCGUGGGUGAAGGAGCGUUUCGGCGCGUAAAGCCCUGUCAGCAGGGAAGAAAAUGACGGUACCUGAAGAAGAAGCCCCGGCUAACUACGUGCCAGCAGCCGCGGUAAUACGUAGGGGGCAAGCGUUAUCCGGAUUUACUGGGUGUAAAGGGGGCGCAGACGGCGAUGCAAGCCAGGAGUGAAAGCCCGGGGCCCAACCCCGGGACUGCUCUUGGAACUGCGUGGCUGGAGUGCAGGAGGGGCAGGCGGAAUUCCUGGUGUAGCGGUGAAAUGCGUAGAUAUCAGGAGGAACACCGGUGGCGAAGGCGGCCUGCUGGACUGCAACUGACGUUGAGGCCCGAAAGCGUGGGGAGCAAACAGGAUUAGAUACCCCUGUA
rnacentral:rRNA from 1 species